UACGAAGGGGGCUAGCGUUGCUCGGAAUUACUGGGCGUAAAGGGCGCGUAGGCGGAUAUUUAAGUCGGGGGUGAAAGCCCGGGGCUCAACCUCGGAAUUGCCUUCGAUACUGGAUAUCUUGAGUUCGGGAGAGGUGAGUGGAAUGCCGAGUGUAGAGGUGAAAUUCGUAGAUAUUCGGCGGAACACCAGUGGCGAAGGCGACUCACUGGCUCAUUACUGACGCUCAGGCGCGACAGCGUGGGGAUCAAACAGG
rnacentral:rRNA from 1 species